UUCAUGAAAAUUCGGACUUAGUCUGUUACACAACUAUUUCAAUCUCCAUUCUGUGCACCGCUGCACGCCGGCAUUUCCUCCCAGACAUUUCUUAUUUUAUUUUUUUAAAUAAAUCAAACGGACAAUGAGUGGGGAUCAUGGACACAAGGACUCCCAGAGCGAUUGUGGGUAUCGGCUUAAUGAUUCUCACAAACACAAAGACAAGCAUAAGGACAAAGAACGCAAACACAAAGACCACAAGAAAGACAAGGAGAGGGAGAAGUCCAAGUGUACUAACAGCGAAUACAAGGAUUUCUCCGAAAAGAAACACAAAGACAAAGUGAAGCACAAAGAUGGAAGUUUGGAGAGACACAAGGACAAGCACAAGGACAAGGAGAAGAGAAGAGAGGAAAAGAUCAAGUUCUCGAGUGUCGAUGGCAAACCCAAGAAAGAAAAGGAAAACGGGUUUGCCAGUCCCCCUCGCUUCAAGUCUGAAGCUGAAAAUGAUGACUUCUACCACUCUCCCAAACACGAGAAGUCUCUGAAGCGGGAACGGGACGACGAAGAUUAUGAUUUCAAGCCUAAAAAAAUUAAGAUUGAAAAUGAAAAGAAGGCAAAAAAGAGGAAACAAGAGGAGGAUGAGGAGGAGGAUAUAAAACCCAAAAAGAAGACAAAAGAUAAAAAAGGAGGAGAAGGCGAUGGCAAAAAGAAGGCCAAGAAGGAGCCAGAGGAGAAGUGGAAAUGGUGGGAGGAAGAGAGGUACACCGAUGGCUCAAAAUGGAGGUUUCUGGAACACAAGGGACCUGUCUUUGCACCUCCAUAUGAACCACUUCCCAGCAAAGUAAAGUUUUACUAUGAUGGGAAGCCAAUGAAGCUGAGUGCACCAGCUGAGGAAGUUGCCACCUUCUUCGCCAAAAUGCUGGACCAUGAGUACACUACCAAGGACAUCUUCCGUAAAAACUUCUUCAAAGACUGGAGGAAGGAAAUGACAUCUGAGGAGAAAUCAAAGAUCACCGACUUGAACAAGUGCGAUUUCACUGAGAUGAGUGAUUACUUCAAAGUACAGUCUGAGGCCAGAAAGCAGAUGUCAAAAGAGGAGAAGCAGAAAAUCAAGGAGGAGAACGAGCGUAUCCUGCAGGAAUAUGGCUUCUGCGUGAUGGACAACCACAGGGAGCGAAUCGGAAACUUCCGUAUUGAGCCCCCAGGUCUAUUCCGUGGGCGAGGGGACCACCCCAAGAUGGGCAUGCUGAAACGCCGCAUCCGGCCGGAGGACAUCAUCAUCAACUGCAGCAAGGACUCCAAACACCCCAAGCCUCCUCCAGGCACCAAGUGGAAGGAGGUGCGACAUGACAACAAGGUGACAUGGCUGGUGUCCUGGACAGAGAACAUCCAGGGCUCCAUCAAGUACAUCAUGCUGAACCCCAGCUCCAGGAUCAAGGGAGAGAAGGACUGGCAGAAGUACGAGACGGCCCGCAGACUAAAGAAGUGCGUGGACCGACUCCGGUCUCAGUACCGGGAUGACUGGAAGUCCAAAGAGAUGAGGAUCCGCCAGAGAGCAGUAGCCCUGUAUUUCAUCGACAAGCUAGCCCUGCGAGCAGGGAACGAGAAGGAGGAGGGGGAGACGGCGGACACGGUGGGCUGCUGCUCCCUGCGUGUGGAACACAUCAAACUUUACCCUGAGAUAGACGGGCAGGAGUUUGUCGUGGAGUUUGAUUUCCUGGGAAAAGACUCCAUCCGUUACUACAAUAAAAUUCCUGUGGAAAAGAGGGUCUUCAAGAAUCUUCAGCUCUUCUUGGAAAACAAGCAGCCGGAAGAUGACCUCUUUGACCGCCUUAAUACCUCAAUUCUGAACAAGCACCUUCAGGAGCUGAUGGACGGACUGACGGCCAAAGUGUUCCGUACCUACAACGCCUCCAUCACCCUGCAGCAGCAGCUGAAAGAGCUGACCAGCCCUGAGGAGAACAUCCCUGCCAAGAUCCUGUCCUACAACCGGGCCAACCGAGCCGUGGCCAUUCUGUGCAAUCAUCAGAGAGCCCCGCCCAAGACUUUUGAGAAGUCCAUGCAGAACCUACAGACCAAGAUAGAUGCCAAGAAGGACCAGCUCUCUGAUGCCAGGAGAGAGCUGAAGAGCGCCAAGGCAGAUGCCAAAGUGCGGAAAGACGAGAAGACCAAAAAGUACGUGCGGGACCAAGAAGAAGGCUGUGCAGAGAAUAGAGGAGCAGCUCAUGAAACUUGAAGUGCAGGCAACAGACCGUGAGGAGAACAAGCAGAUCGCUUUGGGCACCUCCAAACUCAACUACCUGGACCCACGCAUCUCGGUAGCCUGGUGCAAGAAGUGGAACGUGCCCAUUGAGAAAAUCUAUAACAAAACCCAGCGGGAGAAGUUUGCCUGGGCCAUUGACAUGGCGGACGAAGACUUUGAAUUUUAAUCCCAUUUUAAAGUUCCAAAUGUUUCCUUCCCUUGUAAUUUAAAAGACAUUUUUAAAGUAUGUUUGUAGCAUCACUGAUUCCACCAUGUGGUCAACCUGACCAAGGAGAAAGAAGGGUCAGAGGAAAAGGCUAUUACAGGAGGUGGGCAUAAGGGCUCGGGAUGGGGGAUGGGCGAGGGGGGUCAGGGGUAGUUGCAGAGGGAGUAUGGGAAGGAAGUUCUUUUAGGUAGUUGGAUUGAUGUGACUUCAGGUGUCCACACUGGAAGACUGUGCAAAGUGACUGCCCUUAACAACCACAUAGCAGUAAUCCCCCUGGACUGGGGAAUGACAGAUGCUCGGCCCAAACAGGCUUAACCCUGCGUCAGCGAGGCACCUGACUUUACAAACUCUGUGGCUUAUAGCUGCUGUAUUCAAGAGAACUGCUUGUGUUUUUAUCAUUUCAUGUUUUGUUUUUUUGCUCUCUUGGUCCAUUUCUGCCCCUAAGAUUUAUUGAUGAAUUCUAUAUUUUAAUAGAAAAAGAUAAAUCAAAGAGUUCCUUAACGUACACCCACGCCUUGUAAGAAAGUGAAAUGCAAGACCAGCUGGGAAUUAACUGACUGAAGAAGCUGUGUGUUUGGGUGAGCGUGUGACGUGGUAAAUGUGCAUUUUAGCUCAGCUUUGAAUUGUGUGUAAUUCUGAACAUGAAUGAGGGUGUAUAGAUAAACAUCCUAUUACUGUUAAUAUAACUUUAGCAGACAGAAUGUGAAUUUUUUUGUUUUACAGUUUCUAUCAGGGAUUAUUUUCUUCAGUGUAUUUGUGAACCAAUGCUUUUAAAUCCUAUGAAACUCUUUCUACAUGGUUCUGAAUCACCAUUUGGUUUUAACUUAAUUUUACUGCCUGUUUUUAACAGAGGAACAACAGUCAUGUCUUUGUUACUUGAAGCAAUGGCUAUGUUUUAAUGUACUAGUUUGGGCAAGUUUUCUUCCCAAAGGUCAGAUGGAAAAAUGUGAGGGAUAUCAAUUUUGCCAAAAAAAAACCCUACAAUCAACCAUUAAGCUGCAAUUAGGGCGUUUAUUUUUUUGCAGUUGUGUAAAGAAUGAAGGAGGACAGUCUAACAUGAAUUAAUGUGAAUUCUCACAGGUAACUCUGGACUUACUUUUGUUUUGUUCUAGGAAGCAUUAGCAUUAAUAUAAGCAGCCAAUGUUAAUUCUUUACCAGCUUAUUCCACCUCUUGUCCAAGCCUUCAUUUUUGCCCUUGUAGGUUAUUUAAAAAUAAAAAAUACAAUUCAAAUACA